UCGGGAAUUUUGGGCAAUGGGCGAAAGCCUGACCCAGCAACGCCGCGUGAAGGAUGAAGUAUUUCGGUAUGUAAACUUCGAAAGAAUAGGAAGAAUAAAUGACGGUACUAUUUAUAAGGUCCGGCUAACUACGUGCCAGCAGCCGCGGUAAUACGUAGGGACCAAGCGUUGUUCGGAUUUACUGGGCGUAAAGGGCGCGUAGGCGGCAAUUCAAGUCAUCUGUGAAAUCUCCGGGCUUAACUCGGAACGGUCAGAUGAUACUGCUUUGCUAGAGUGCAGAAGGGGCAAUCGGAAUUCUUGGUGUAGCGGUGAAAUGCGUAGAUAUCAAGAGGAACACCUGAGGUGAAGACGGGUUGCUGGGCUGAUACUGACGCUGAGGCGCGAAAGCUAGGGUAGCAAACGGGGAUUAGAUACCCACGUAGUCCCUGAGCGGGCUGGCAAGGCGCAU
rnacentral:rRNA from 1 species